rnacentral:rRNA from 1 species
AACGAACGCUGGCGGCAUGCCUAACACAUGCAAGUCGAACGAAGCCUUCGGGCUUAGUGGCGCACGGGUGCGUAACGCGUGGGAAUCUGCCCUUGGGUUCGGAAUAACAGUUAGAAGUGACUGCUAAUACCGGAUGAUGUCUUCGGACCAAAGAUUUAUCGCCCAAGGAUGAGCCCGCGUAGGAUUAGGUAGUUGGUGGGGUAAUGGCCCACCAAGCCGACGAUCCUUAGCUGGUCUGAGAGGAUGAUCAGCCACACUGGGACUGAGACACGGCCCAGACUCCUACGGGAGGCAGCAGUGGGGAAUAUUGGACAAUGGGCGAAAGCCUGAUCCAGCAAUGCCGCGUGAGUGAUGAAGGCCUUAGGGUUGUAAAGCUCUUUUACCAGGGAUGAUAAUGACAGUACCUGGAGAAUAAGCUCCGGCUAACUCCGUGCCAGCCGCCGCCGUAAUAC